rnacentral:lncRNA from 1 species
AUUUUUUUCUCUUAGUUCCCUGCUCGUGAGAACGGAUUAGUAAAAAAAAUAAGGAUAUUUCAACGAUAUCUUCAUUAUGGACAACACAUAUUUUCAUCUAAAAUUUUCAAGAAUGUGUAAUAAUAUUGUUCUUGAACGAGAACACGUCGUUCAAGAUGAUUCUCCGGCCUUCGUCUCACUCGCAGAUUUACGUUCAGAGUUAAUACCAUCAGAAAAACUUCUGAAAACACGAUAUGUGAAGGUGAAAGAAGAAGAAUAUAAAGAUGGAGCUAGGGUUUACUGGAAGUUGGUACAAGGUACAGAUGACGAUCGUGAUUUAAGCCCAGAAAUUCCAUUAUCAGCCAUCUUUGAGUUCAUAAAGGAUAAGAUUUUUCAUCCUGUUAGACAUUGGAUUGAUAGGUUAUUUGGUCCGUUAUUUGGAAUGCCCAAAAAUACAUGAAGCUCGUGAUCAAAGGUUAAAUAGAAACGAGAAAAAAAUUAUAUCGUGCAUG